rnacentral:rRNA from 1 species
UACGUAGGGUCCGAGCGUUGUCCGGAUUUAUUGGGCGUAAAGAGCUCGUAGGCGGUUCCGUAAGUCGAGUGUGAAAAAUCUGGGCUCAACCCAGUGGAGCACUCGAUACUGCGGUGACUAGAGUACGGUAGAGGAGUGUGGAAUUCCUGGUGUAGCGGUGAAAUGCGCAGAUAUCAGGAGGAACACCAACGGCGAAGGCAGCACUCUGGGCCGGUACUGACACUGAGGAGCGAAAGCGUGGGGAGCAAACAGG